rnacentral:tRNA from 2 species
GAAUAUAGUUCAGUUGGUAGAACGCUACCUUGCCAUGGUAGAGGUCGCGGGUUCGAAUCCCGUUGUUC